AAUUUAUUUCUUUAGGCCAUGUUCGUUUAAGCACUUCCCGCCCGGGAACAGGGACCAAACCCCGUGGACCUCCCUCGUUUGGAAAGAAGCCCAGCCCACAAAAAAACGUGCAUUCGGUUAACCCCCGUAUGGACCGUAUCCCGGUAUUUCCUCUUCGUUCCAGACCGAGAACCACGCCCGGUCCCUGCGGGGUGGAAAAUAUCUCACGCAAAGGAGCUGAGGCAUCACAAAUGAAGGGCACGAGGCGGCGGCGGUGGCGGCGACGGCUCUCCGGCGUUGAUCUACCCUGCGUCCGUGUUCUUAUAGGAGUGGCCCCUCUGGAGUUGUAUGUGGAGUUGUAAACUCUCUUUUAUCCUAGAAGAGUUUCUAAGGCGCGGUAUAAGUCCAUGAUCAUAGACUAAGAGGAUUUGACUCUAAUUACUAUCCGUUUUAUUUAUGUAGUCCUAUGAGAACAUAGAGUAUUUGCACAUUGCUUUAUUAGUUUAUUAAAGUUAAAGAUUGUAUGUGAUGAGUAUGUAUCAACUCUUGUUGGAAGUGUCUUGCAAUUUCCAACCAUAUAUUGUGUGUGUAUAUAUAUAUUGUGUAUAUACAAUGGAAGCUUGAAAAUUGUGUGAA